GGAUUAGAUACCCUGGUAGUCCACGCCGUAAACGAUGAACACUUGGUGUUGGAGGUAUUGACCCCUUCAGUGCCGGAGCUAACGCGUUAAGUGUUCCGCCUGGGGAGUACGGUCGCAAGAUUAAAACUCAAAGAAAUUGACGGGGGCCCGCACAAGCGGUGGAGCAUGUGGUUUAAUUCGAUGCAACGCGAAGAACCUUACCUGGUCUUGACAUCCUGUUGACCGUUUCCAGAGAUGGAUUCUUCCCUUCGGGGCAACAGUGACAGGUGCUGCAUGGCUGUCGUCAGCUCGUGCUG
rnacentral:rRNA from 1 species